CUGCAUGGUACAUAGCUGCCAGCUGGGCUUAAAUGGCAUCUGCUUUUCCCUUUUGUCUCCAAUUCCAACUGGACAUGGCAUCCAAUCCCUCUGUACUCAAGUCUCUAUCUGUUCUGCUUUCAUGACACAGAAAGAAUUAGGAUGUCUGCAGACCUGAUCAUGAAAAAUGGCAUCACAUUCCUUAAAACAAGAAAACCUGGAAUACUCCCCACUUACAGCAAAAAAGAAGGGAAAUGUGGGUAGUCUGCAAUGUGGAUCCCUGUGCAGAAGAAACAGUAACUUGCCUGACUCUGGUGUGCCCCAGGGCCCAGAGCACGAGGCUGAAGUGGUCAGCGUGUGGGGCUGCUGGCAAGCAAUCAAUAAAGAUUACAUGGAAAAAAGACACGUGAAGACUUUCAGGUCUUUUGUUGGUACAAGUUUUCAUGAAUGCCUCUGCAAAUGGUUCCUUUCAUAUUGGGAAAUCUGGAAUGAAAAUCAUGGUUCAAGUUAAAAAAAAGACAUAUUAGAUUUCUAGUUUUCAUUUUAAUUUGUGGCAGCUUUUUUCUAACAAUGUUAAUGUCAAAAACACCAGGCUUAUGGUGCACUCACAGUGAACAUUUAAGGAGAGAUAAGGCAGUGAGAAUUCUUUCCCAGUACAUUCAAGAUUAUAAACCAUGGCCAACUCUUUGCUUUGAAAAUUAUUUGACAUCUUCAAAUCUAUAAAGUAGUAUGGGAAGAAAACCUCAAAAAUUAGAUUAGUUUCUGUCUCAUGACAAAUAGUGGAAUUUGAUCAGAAAUCUUCAAUCAAAAUGAAAUCUCAACAGAAAAUAUGUUCUCCAUGGAACCGGCUGUACUUUGAUUUUAUCAACCUUUUAUUGCUUUACCUAUUUUUUUCAUGAAAAAGUAUUCUUCGUGUAGACAAAAAAAUGAAAAGCCUUUGUACAAGCCUAAGCAAAGCAAUGUGAAGGAUUUAUUUUUAAUUCGUUUUAUAAGGUCAUCUAACCAAUGUGAUUGGAAAAUGCAUAUUAAGACACAAUUGGACAGUGUUAUGCAAAAUUUCAUUCCAUGUCACUCUAGCUGACAUUGCUAACAGAAAUGCUUGGCUAUACUACAAAUUCUCUGCUUGGUUAGUCAUGCCUGAACCUGAAAAUCAGAGCUGAGGGACAAAAAAAUGUGAAUUCAACCUUUUACAAAUAACUGUAUUUAGAUUGAUAUCCAAAAUUCAGUGAAAUUAUUUUAAUUUUUCUAUUAUAUUACUUUGUAAUUAUAUGUAAGUACAUUUUAGAAAGAAGAAGAGGGAGCUUGUUUUUAUUGUGAAAUUUCAAACCUAAAAGUUACAAAAUGUACUUUUAAAAGAAAUUGUACAGAAUAGUAUUUCCCUGAAAUAUUGAAUUAAAACAAUUCUUUGGUUUUGAUGAAAAAAAAUAAUAUUUGCGUGCAUAAUAUCUGGCUAUCUCUAAAGAACACUGCUAUUAUUAAUAGGAAUGUGUGUGUGAGCUUGUGUCUGUGCAUGCAAAGCAAUCACUGCACUUCUGAAUUUGAUAAGAAAAGGUUACACUCAGUAUGGAAGUACCAGCAAAGCACAACUUAUAUUCAAGAUAGCUUUUAAAAUAAUAAACCAUUCCAUGGAUCAGGAGGGAAUGAUCA
ensembl:lncRNA